rnacentral:lncRNA from 1 species
AUGACACAUCACAUAUAAAUAAAAAGGUGUUUAAGGCAUUGUAACAAAGGAAGAAACUUAAGAAAGGUAAUACACGGAUAACAGGUGCUUUGUGUCGCUUUUAAAAUGUACUAUGAAUGGAAACAGUUCGGUUAAAAGAAAUAUUGUUCAUCUUUUCAAAAAGACCUUUUUGUAGAUUCUUUUAUAAACAAAAUGGAUUUCGUUAUAUUGGUACCAGCGAUGCUAUUAAUCCAAUCGUCAACAUCAACCCGUAAGUUUUUGUUGUCAAUUCUACAACUGUGUGUAUUGUUUUAUGACUCUUAAUUCAGACCUGGGGUAAUUAAAUAUGUAUUAUUAUUAGCUACAAAUUUGGAAGUAAUUCAAUGUAAUGUGUAAUUGAGCAUAUUUUCAUUAAAAAUAAUUAAUUACAUUACAUUUUUGCCAUGUAAUUAUGCAUUGCAUUUCUAUUACUUUCAAUUGCAUUUAGAUAUUUACCCGGACAUUUUAAACAUUUUGUUUUUUUCUGAUGUUUUCACACACCAUGGAUUGACUAUUUUCCUACAUCUAGUAUGCCUUUGGUACUUUUUUUCUUUGUUAAAAUUUUAAUGUGUUGAAAAAAAUAUAUAACAUUGAUUAACAUGAUUAAUACUUUAUUUAUCAUUAUAGCAUGUAAAGUAAUCUUUAUUUGUAAUUAGUUUAUUAAUCAAUUUUUUCACAUGUACACAUAACAAAAUAUAAAAAUCAAAAACAAUAACAAUUUAUUGACAUACAAUUUGUAAAUAUGUUGUUUUAGUAAUUAACAAUAAUUCUAGUCUCAUCAUAUUUCCCUUCACUUAACUUAUUUUCAAGUAUAAGAAUGUCCCUUAAUUAAAAUGUCAAAGACAAUUAAAUUUUUAACCAUUAUGUUUACAUGUUAAAAAUUUUUCAGAUAGAUAUUAUUUAAACACUGUCACAUAAAUUUUAAUACAGCAGUCAAAACAUACAAGAAUGAGUCCAAUAUACUUGACAAUUUUGAAUUGCAAAAAGACCAGUUUGGAAAUUAAAUAAGAGUAAAAAUCUAUCAUUGCUCUUCUGUAAAAAAUGGAAAGUUACUUUAAAUUUUGGGAUUCACAUGAGAUAAACAAGAAAUAACAUUGAGAAUGGAAGGGAUGUAAAGACAACAGACCAAAAAAAACAGCAGAGGGUCACCAGAGGCGUCCUUCAGCUGGCACCUAAACAAAUAUAUACUCAGUCCGUGAUAAUGAACACCAUACUAAUUUUCAAAUUGUACACAAGAAACUAAAAUUAAAUAACAAGACUAAGAAAGGCAAGGCUCUGACAUGGGACAGGCGCAAAAAUGCGGCGGGGUUAAACAUGUUGUGAAUCUCAACUCCCCUAUACUCUAACCAUUGUAGAAGUAAACGAUAACAAUACGCACAUUAAAAUUCAGUUCAAGAGAAAACCUUUUUAGAUUAAUAGUUUUAGUAGAAACUAAUUUUUUUAAGAAUGAAAAAUAUAUUCUUUUAUAUAUCUAUGUAUGUAUCUUUACAACAAAUGUUUUCCCCCCAAAAAAUAAAAAAAAAACAAUCAAAUAAUCAGCAUUGAAAAUCUAAUUAUUAUGAAAUGUAACAAUGACAUUUGAAAUUUGGAAACUUAAAACAAAGCUUGUACAACUGUUUUCACUGAUGAAUAGUGCUUGUACAACUGUUUUCACUGAUGAAUAGUGCAAGUAUGUUUGAUUCUACCAUGUUGUCAUUUUUAUGAUUUUAUCCUAUAUGAUAUAGCUCUUGCAUGUCUUGGGACAAAAGUAAUUAAAAUGUAAUUAAUUACAUUGAUAAUGUAAUUGUUAUGUUAUUAAUUACAUGUGAAAAUCAAUGUAAAUGUGAUGUAAUUAAUUACUUUGGUAUGUAAUUGACCCCAGGUCUGAGUCUCUUAUAUAUAUUUCUUUUAAGAUAUAUAACUGCAUAUAUAUGAUAUUUAAUAAAUUUUAUUAUAUUCUGCUGAAUAUAAUUUUAACUGUGUUGUGUGAUCACGAGUUGGUUGACCGACAUGGAAUAUCUGUUUCACAGACGCGACAAAGGAUAUGUUCCAAUUACCGUAACCACAAUCUCGUCAUCUUUUCCUCGAAUGUCACCUACCGAAUUAAAGUUAUCACCAGGAUUUAUACAAAUUACAUGAUCAACACGGGGGAUGCCACACGCGAAGCCGAAUCUGCUUAACCUUCCGAAGCACCUGAGACCACUCCAGUUUUUGAUGGGAUUCAUAGCUCAGUCCUAGUUUUCUAUAUUCACGGGUGACAUUCGGUAUAUCGAGAAAAAUAAUUGUGAAAGAAUAAGUAACGGUGGUCAAGCAUUGCGAACGGAUCAUGAAUGCAAUUUAGUGUAAUUCGUCUUCUAAAUCUGUGAAAAAUCUGCUGUAUUUUCAAAAGGUGGAACAAAUCAGAAAAAAAAAUAUGUCUGUAAAAAUGCACUACGUUAAAUAAAAAAAUGCAGUACUUUUUAAGAAAACUCAAAAGGCGACAUACAAUCCUAUGAGAAUCAUCAAGAAAAAAAAAUCACGUUUUGAAUCUAUAAUGUUCAGAUUCCAAUACAUCAUGACAUAUAUGAAACUUAAUCUUUAGUGUGUCAUGUGUCAGAUAGUCCAGUAAAUAAAAGUAUGUUAUUACUUCAAAAAAUUCAUAAUAUUUAAAAAAAAAUCAUAUUUUCGUGAAAGAUCAGGCAGAUUCAGAUUCAAGAUUCAAUACUUAUUACGGUCUCACCACUUACAAUUACAUAUAUUUACACAAUAAAAUAUUCAUACAGGUACAUAAAACAUACAUGUAUAACAAAUUUUAAAUUCACAUUGUAUGUGUCAAUCUUAAAAGAUUUAUGAGAGACUGUACAAGCAAUACUAUUAAAAAACAAUUAGAUAUUGUGCAUAUUAUAUGCUUAUGAAUAUCAUUAGAAUACAGCAUAAUCAAUUAUAUGAAAAUCCAUUUCUUCUGAUUUAAAUGCUAAAGCAGGUCCUGGCGACACUUUCAAAAACUUUAUCAUUAUUGAAUAAAAAAAAUAACCUUUCAUUAUCUGAUAAAAUGUAAAAGAUACACAUUAAAAUUUGCAACUUCAUAAAACAAUAUAUGUCUAAGAUCUUCAUAUAGUGGACAUUUCAAUAAAACAUGUAGUUCAUCUUCAAUACUAUUAUUACAAUAAAAACAUGUUCUUUCGUGUAUUUCUUUUCUUUCAUAUCUACCUGUUUCUAUUCUAAGGGGAGCAACUCCACAUCUAAAUUUAGCAAAAGAACUUCUAAAUUUAAGUGGCAUUUUACAUUUUAAGUAAGGUUCAGUACAAUAAUCAUAUUUAGAUAACUUAUAAGUUCUUAAUUUAUUACCUUGAGCAUACGCAGAUACUCUAUUACUCCAUUCUAUUUUAUAUUUAUCAAACAUUAUUGUUUCUAAUUGUACAAUAAUACUCUUAUAUAAUUCAUUCAGUGUCAUAGUUACAAUAGCUAUCAAAAUUAUGAUUUUAAAACAUUUCCAUAACUCUAUGGCUCCAAUUCUGAAUUCUACCUCUAGCAUUUUUAGUUGACAAUUUGUAAACCUUAAAAUUUAUUCUAUCAUGAGCCAUAUUCGAACAUCUUUUCCAGUGUCUAAAUACACUUGUCCAUUGUUUUACAGAUGGUGGUUUCCAACCCUUAUCUCCAUGUAUGGCAUCAUUUGGAGUAUAAUUACCGACACCCAUAUCAAAUCUUAUGGCUCUAUUUUGGACAGCAUUUAUACAUGAGUAAUCGCGUGUCCCCUAAAUACACGACCCAUAAUCAAUAACUGACCAGACCAUAGUGUUGUAUAAUUUAGAAAAUAUAUCGUGUUAAAAACCACCAUAUGUUUUACUUAUUACAAUUAAUAAACACAAAGCUCUACUUGCUGAUUUGGAGCUGUCUCGUUGGCAAUCAAACCACAUUCUCUUAUUUUUGUACAUCAGAUGGAUCCAUACUAAAAAACAGACCCUUUAAAAUUGUUACGAUCAAUUGAUAGUCCAAAAAUUCUAUUAAUAACAAUCCCAGAUAUUGAUAGUUACUAACACAUUCCAUUGCAUUGGUACCUAUUGUAAAAUUACAUUCAGUUCUAGGUACAGAUGGAUUUCUACAAUGCAUAAUUUUGGACUUAUUAAUAUUGACAUUAAGUCCAUUAGUAAUACACCAAUUGUUAAGAAUAAAAACAUUUUCUGUAAGUCUUUUUUCAUUUUCCACCAUUAAUACCAUAUCAUCAGCAUACAAUAAAAUUGGCAACGCAUUAUUUUGAUCGUAAAGACAAGAUCAAAUAAAUAAAAAAUAAAUAAUUAUUUUAUUAUAGUGUCACAUAUUUGAUCAGACAAUAUAUAUAUACAACAAUUCAUAAUAAAAACAGAGAUCAAAUAUCCAGCCUUAGAACAGACUUAUGAGACACUUUAAAGUCAUAAGAAAACCUCAAUCAAAAAAAAUAAUGCAUAUGUUUUUUAUAACUUAAUGGAUAGUUUUCAUUAUAAAACUUAUGUACAUAUACUUUUUUCUGAAGAAAAUUCUUUAAUUUAUUAAUAUUUAGAAAGAAGUUUACUUUAUUUUAAUUGCAAUUCCCCCGACAUGUUUUCCGUAUGCAAAGUGACCUCAGUGUGACCCAUCUCGUAAAAAUCCCGGUGAUACACAAUACGCAUGAAUGUCCUUAAAAUAAACUAUUAUCUGAAUUUACAUGUUAAACACGUGCUCAAUUUCCAUGCUUUUUUGUUUAUUUUUUGUCGAUUGUUGACAAACAGGUGACAAUCGUUAAACUUCGGCUUCACAACACGAACUUUAAUUACCUGCAUAUUUUCCACAACAACACUGACCGAUUGAAAAAAAAACAUUGACGAUUGUACGAAAUUUACACGAAAAAAAAUGAUUAAUUCGUGCACAGAAGUCUAAGUUUAUGAUGUUUGUAUGCAUUGGUUCAAGAAUUGGAAGAACAUUAUUUUUUACAGGUCACUCGUUUCUAUGACUUUAAAAACACAUCAGACAACUGUACAUUUAUAUAAAAAAAUAAAGUGAGGAUUUAUUUAUAUAUAUCCUUAUAAAAUUCAAAAAUAAUUACUGGUUUAUCACAUUAAGUAAACUGCUUUUUCCUUCACGAUCCUAUACCAGAUAAUAAUAAUAAUAAUAAUAACAAUAAUAAAUUCUUUAUUUAAAGAGGGUAACUCAAUUAGAACUAGUCUAAUUUUCAUUGAGGCCCUCAAACAAAAUACAUGUAUACAGUUAACAUUCAUACAUUAAAAUACAAUAUAUUACAAGCAUAUACACAAACAUACAAAUGACAAUAAUUGAUAAAGUUUUGAUUAAGUUUUCAUAUUCUAACCAUAAAAGAAAGAAAAAAAAAAUUCGACGAGCAUAAAAUUUUCAAAAAAAUGAUCAUAACAAUGUUUCUUGAAUAAUUCCACAUUAUGACAAUUUUUUAUUGUGAGUGGUAAAUUAUUCUAUACCUUGGUUGCAGAAUAAUGAAAGGAUUUUUUAUAAAAAAAUGUAUUUGGUCUUCGUAUUAGAGCUACACAGAUCGUAAGUUGUAGUGUUGACACCAUUAAUAUUUAGCAUUGCUAAGUAAUCAGUUGUUAGUCCAUUUACAAUUUUAUACAUUAGAAUUGAUUGAUGGUAUUUUAUUCUUUUUGUAAAAAGAUAGCCAUUUUAAAGAAGAAACCAUAAAAUUAGAUCGAACAGAAAUAUCACAUUCAAGUAUAAUUCUUGCUACUCUUUUUUGAAUUUUAAUGAUUCUAAUCUGAAUCUUUUUGUAAUAAAUUCCUCCAAACUGAAAACACAAUAGUCUAUAUAUGGUAGAAUAUAUGCAUUAUAAAAUAGUUGUCUUGUGUGUAUAGGCAAAUAUUUUUUGAAUUUUAUACAAUAAGUGUUAUUUAGAUGAUAUAAUUCUAUAUAUAUACGAUCAACAUGAUCUUCUCCAGUUUAAAUUUUCAACAAUGUCAAUUCCAAGUAAUUUGUUAGUCAUGUAUUUUUUUUUAAAUUUUGGUUCAUUUGUAUGUGUUGGAGUUUGGUGUUUCGUCUGGCUGGGCUUGUAUACAUUGUUGUUAAGGGGCCAGCAUAAGCCCGCCUCCUGGUGCAAGGGAUUUUCGCGCUGCGUGAAGACCCGUUGGUAGCCUUGGGCUGUUUUAUGCUCUUUGGUCAUUUUCUUUCUCUAUUCUAUUAUAAAAAUCGCUUUCUUGUUCUUAAUUAAUAGUUUUAACAUUGCUAAUCAACAUUUUUAUCAGCUAAUACAGGAACAAUAUCGGCCAUUUAGCAGUUAAUAUACAAACACGUUGAAUGAAAAAUAGCCCCUUCUCAGUUUCCUUCUGAACAGUAUAUUUGAACCCUGCACGUAAUCACGAAAACCCUAAAAAUGAAAGAAUCUGUAUUUGACACACUGUCUUAAUCGAGGGCUUGACCAGCAACAAAUUAAAAUCUCAGUCUAUCGGUUUAUAUUUUGAAAAAAAAUGUUGUCUUAAUUUUGUGAGUUUUACUUGAGAUGGAAUGCAAGAGUACACUAUUCGCCUUACAGCUAUAGUAAAGAAGACGUUUGAUUCGAUCUGUGAAAGUGUGUGGGACCCAAUAUGUGGAUCUGACGGUAGAACAUACCAUAAUAGAUGCUACUUAGCUUUAAAUCCGUAAGUU